rnacentral:ribozyme from 12 species
AGGAAUAAUUACAAGCAGCAGUAGAAGCGACAUUUUCCUCUGCAGUAGAAAUGCCAUAUUCGUUGCCCUUUUUUUUUUCCUUCUUCUUCUUCUUCUUUUUCUUUCUCUUU